rfam:Nomascus leucogenys chromosome 8, whole genome shotgun sequence.
GUUCUUUUGUGGUUUGUAAGUGUGAUGAUUGGGUUUUUUGCUCACGUGUGAGAUGUGCCUCCCUCAAACCUCAUUAUGAUGUCGGCACAUCACCCAUCUGACG